rnacentral:rRNA from 1 species
AGCAGCCGCGGUAAUUCCAGCUCCAAUAGCGUAUAUUAAAGUUGUUGCAGUUAAAAAGCUCGUAGUUGAAUUUCGGGAUCAAUAUGUUGGUCGUGCCUUGGUACGUACUGGCAUUAUCGAUUCCUACCUUCUGAAGAAUCUCGAUGUCAUUAAUUUGGUGUCUUGGGGAAUCAGGACUGUUACUUUGAAAAAAUUAGAGUGUUUAAAGCAGGCUCGCGCUUGAAUACAUUAGCAUGGAAUAAUGAAAUAGGACGUUUGAUUCUAUUUUGUUGGUUUCUAGGAUCGACGUAAUGAUUAAUAGGGAUAGUUGGGGGCAUUAGUAUUCAAUUGUCAGAGGUGAAAUUCUUGGAUUUAUUGAAGACUAACUACUGCGAAAGCAUUUGCCAAGGAUGUUUUCAUUAAUCAAGAACGAAAGUUAGGGGAUCGAAGACGAUCAGAUACCGUCGUAGUCUUAACCAUAAACUAUGCCGACUAGGGAUCGGAUGAUGUUAAUUUUUUAAUGACUCAUUCGGCGCCUUACG